GAGGAAUAUUGGUCAAUGGGCGCGAGCCUGAACCAGCCAAGUAGCGUGAAGGAUGACUGCCCUAUGGGUUGUAAACUUCUUUUAUAAGGGAAUAAAGUGAGGCACGUGUGCCUUAUUGUAUGUACCUUAGGAAUAAGCAUCGGCUAACUCCGUGCCAGCAGCCGCGGUAAUACGGAGGGGGCGAGCGUUAUUCGGAAUUAUUGGGCGUAAAGGGCGCGUAGGCGGCUUGAUAAGUCAAAGGUGAAAGUUUACGGCUCAACCGUGAAAUUGCAGUUGAAACUGGUCGUCUUGAGUGCAGUAAAGGUGGGCGGAAUUCGUGGUGUAGCGGUGAAAUGCUUAGAUAUCACGAAGAACUCCAAUUGCGAAGGCAGCUCACUGGAGUGUAACUGACGCUGAUGCUCGAAAGUGUGGGUAUCAAACA
rnacentral:rRNA from 1 species